UCCGGCUUCCCGCCGGCAGUCUCCCGAGAGUCCCCGACUUUACGGGUCGGUAACCCUUUCAGGCACCUACUUCCAGGAUGUCAAACCCAGGUAAGGUUCUUCGCUUUGCAUCGAAUUAAGCAACGCGCUCCGCCGCUUGUGCGGGCCCCCGUCAAUUCCUUUGAGUUUUAGCCUUGCGGCCGUACUCCCCAGGCGGCGAACUUAAUGCGUUAGCUGCGGCACGGAGGGCAUGACACCCCCCACACCUAGUUCGCACCGUUUACGGCCAGGACUAC
rnacentral:misc_RNA from 1 species